rnacentral:rRNA from 1 species
UGCGUAGGCGGUUAAAUAAGUCAGAGGUGAAAGCCCGCAGCUCAACUGUGGAAUUGCCUUUGAUACUGUAUAACUUGAAUCAGGUUGAGGUUGGCGGAAUGUGACAUGUAGCGGUGAAAUGCAUAGAUAUGUCAUAGAACACCAAUUGCGGAGGCAGCUAACUAGACCUGUAUUGACGCUGAGGCACGAAAGCGUGGGGAGCGAACAGGAUUAGAUACCCUGGUAGUCC